UACGUAGGGUCCAAGCGUUGUCCGGAAUUAUUGGGCGUAAAGAGCUCGUAGGCGGUGUGUCGCGUCGGAUGUGAAAGCCCGGGGCUUAACCCCGGGUCUGCAUUCGGUACGGGCAUGCUGGAGUUCGGUAGGGAGACUGGAACUCCUGGUGUAGCGGUGAAAUGCGCAGAUAUCAGGAGGAACACCGGUGGCGAAGGCGGUUCUCUGGGCAUGAUCUGACGCUGGAGGAGCGAAAGCGUGGGGAGCAAACAGG
rnacentral:rRNA from 1 species